rnacentral:rRNA from 1 species
GAUGAACGCUGGCGGCGUGCCUAAUACAUGCAAGUCGAGCGAACAGACGAGGAGCUUGCUCCUCUGACGUUAGCGGCGGACGUGUGAGUAACACGUGGAUAACCUCCCUAUAAGACUGGGAUAACUUCGGGAAACCGGCGCUAAUACCGGAUAAUAUAUUGAACCGCAUGGUUCGAUAGUGAAAGACGGUUUUGCUGUCACUUAUAGAUGGUUCCGUGCCGCUUUAGCUAGUUGGUAAGGUAACGGCUUACCAAGGCAACGAUGCGUAGCCGAACUGAGAGGGUGAUCGGCCACACUGGAGCUGGGACACGGUCCAGAAUCCUAAGGGAGGCAGCAGUAGGGAACCUUCCGCAGUGGGCGGAAGCCUGACGGAGCAACGCCGCGUGAGUGAUGAAGAUCUUCGGAUCGUAAAGCUCUGUUAUUAGGGAAGAACAAAUGUGUAAGUAACUAUGCACGUAUUGACGGUACCUAAUGAAAAAGCCCCGGCUAACUACGUG